UUCCAUCUCCCCGGUAUUUGCAUACACAGUGUGUGGGGGGAACACCUCCCCUGUCACUCUCUCUAUAUAUCUCAUUGUACAGGAGACGUCUUCUAGUUUGGAUCUGACCCUCCAGAAACAUCAAGAUGAUUUCUCCCAGUUAUCUGCUGGCUGUCAUCUUCAUUUCUAUUCAGGGAUCCUGUGGAGAGAUUGUGAUGACUCAGACUCCGGAUUCUAGCUCUGUGUCCCCGGGACAGACAGUCACCAUCACAUGUACAUCCAGUUCUUACACUGGCAAUGCUAUAGCCUGGUACCAACAGAAAUCAGGAAAGUCUCCAACACUUCUCAUCUACAAUGCAGCCACCCGACACACAGGAGUCCCAGGCCGGUUCUCUGGUAGUGGUGAUGGAUCUUUUUACACUCUGACAAUUACCGGUGUGACUGAAGCUGAUGAUGGAAAAUAUUACUGUCAGCAGGGUUAUGAUUCCUCUCACACAGUGAUACAGAGCCGUACAAAAACCUCCUUCCUCUUUUAUAAAGAAACACAAUCACAGAUGUCAUCACUGGAACAUUCAUGUGAAUAAAUCUAAUAAAUGGAU